rnacentral:rRNA from 1 species
GAACUUCAGAGACGAUGGGUNCAUUCGGGAACUCAGACACAGGCCUGGAUGUUAGUCGUCAGCUCGUGUCGUGAGAUGUUGGGUUAAGUCCCGUAACGAGCGCGAAACNUUUGUCCUUAGUUACCAGCUACGUUAUGGUGGGAACUCUAAGGAAGACUGCCGGUGACAAACUGGAGUGAAGGUGGGGAUGACGUCAAGUCAUCAUGGCCCUUACGGCCAGGGGCUACACACGUGCUACAAUGGUCGGUACAAAGGGUUGCCAAGCCGCGAGGUGGAGCUAAUCCCAGUAAAGACACUUNUCGUAUUCCGGAAUCGCGAGGNCUGCAACAUCGACGUGCAGGUGAAGUCGGAAUGCGCGUAGNAAGUCCGUGGACAGUCAGAAAUGUCACGG